rnacentral:rRNA from 1 species
UCUGCCUUCAGGUCUGGGACAACCACUGGAAACGGUGGCUAAUACCGGAUGUGCCGCAAGGUGAAAGGUUAACUGCCUGAAGAUGAGCUCGCGUCUGAUUAGCUAGUUGGCAGUGUAAGAGACUACCAAGGCGACGAUCAGUAGCUGGUCUGAGAGGACGAUCAGCCACACUGGGACUGAGACACGGCCCAGACUCCUACGGGAGGCAGCAGUGGGGAAUUUUCCGCAAUGGGCGAAAGCCUGACGGAGCAAUACCGCGUGAGGGAGGAAGGCUCUUGGGUCGUAAACCUCUUUUCUCAGGGAAGAACACAAUGACGGUACCUGAGGAAUAAGCAUCGGCUAACUCCGUGCCAGCAGCCGCGGUAAUACGGAGGAUGCAAGCGUUAUCCGGAAUGAUUGGGCGUAAAGCGUCCGCAGGUGGCGAUGUAAGUCUGCUGUUAAAGCGUCUAGCUCAACUAGAUAAAAGCAGUGGAAACUACAUAGCUAGAGUACGUUCGGGGCAGAGGGAAUUCCUGGUGUAGCGGUGAAAUGCGUAGAGAUCAGGAAGAACACCGGUGGCGAAGGCGCUCUGCUAGGCCGUAACUGACACUGAGGGACGAAAGC